rnacentral:rRNA from 2 species
CGACGAGUCGAGUUGUUUGGGAAUGCAGCUCUAAGUGGGUGGUAAAUUCCCAUCUAAAGCUAAAUAUUGGCGAGAGACCGAUAGCGAACAAGUACAGUGAUGGAAAGAUGAAAAGAACUUUGAAAAAGAGAGUGAAAAAGUACGUGAAAUUGUUGAAAGGGAAGGGGCUUGAGAUCAGACUUGGUAUUUUGCAUGUUGCUCUCUCGGGGGCGGCCGCUGCGGUUUACCGGGCCAGCAUCGGUUUGGAGCGGCAGGAUAAUGGCGGAGGAAUGUGGCACGGCUUCUGCUGUGUGUUAUAGCCUCUGACGAUACUGCCAGCCUAGACCGAGGACUGCGGUUUUUUACCUAGGAUGUUGGCAUAAUGAUCUUAAGUCGCCCGUCUUGAAACACGGACCAAGGAGUCUAACGUCUAUGCGAGUGUUUGGGUGUAAAACCCGUACGCGUAAUGAAAGUGAACGAAGGUGGGGGCCUAUUAGGGUGCACCAUCGACCGAUCCUGAUGUGUUCGGAUGGAUUUGAGUAAGAGCAUAGCUGUUGGGACCCGAAAGAUGGUGAACUAUGCCUGAAUAGGGUGAAGCCAGAGGAAACUCUGGUGGAGGCUCGUAGCGGUUCUGACGUGCAAAUCGAUCGUCGAAUUUGGGUAU